CCUACGGGGGGCUGCAGUGAGGAAUAUUGGUCAAUGGGCGCGAGCCUGAACCAGCCAAGUCGCGUGAGGGAAGACGGUCCUAUGGAUUGUAAACCUCUUUUGUCGGGGAGCAAAAGACGCCACGCGUGGCGUUCCGAGAGUACCCGAAGAAAAAGCAUCGGCUAACUCCGUGCCAGCAGCCGCGGUAAUACGGAGGAUGCGAGCGUUAUCCGGAUUUAUUGGGUUUAAAGGGUGCGCAGGCGGAAGAUAAAGUCAGUGGUAAAAUUGAGAGGCUCAACCUCUUCGAGCCGUUGAAACUGGUAUUCUUGAGUGAGCGAGAAGUAUGCGGAAUGCGUGGUGUAGCGGUGAAAUGCAUAGAUAUCACGCAGAACUCCGAUUGCGAAGGCAGCAUACCGGCGCUCAACUGACGCUGAUGCACGAAAGUGUGGGUAUCGAACAGGAUUAGAUACCCGGGUAGUC
rnacentral:rRNA from 1 species